rnacentral:lncRNA from 1 species
UUUAACAGUUUAUGCAAAAUACUUUGCUUAGUACUCGUACGUGUGUCAUGUGUAAAAGAAAUCGCCGGAUUUUGUUUAUUUUCUUCUGAAGUGCGUCAGGAUCUGCGCUAGUAUUAUCUGGAAUUUUUUGUUUAUGAGACGCUAAGUUUAGUAAACAAUAAUGGAAAGCUCUGUCAAGGUUGCCGUGCGGGUUCGUCCCUUGAAUGAAAGCAGUAGAGUCGCACUGCUCGGAAGGUCGAUUGUGAUUGGUUAUAUGUAAUUGGCGGUUGCAGUGGUUGCAGCCAAUCAUGUGUAAAGGAGCUGCAGGGAAAAACCUCGGGAAAAAGCUCUCGAAUUAUUCCAAUAUCAAUCGAGUACCACGACCAGUAUUCACGAAAUUAAUAUCAAGAUUUUGAACGAGUGGUUGCUUGUCUGUUAUUUUUGGCUCUUUUUUAGUGGUUAUGGAUGUUAACAGUUGUGGAAUCUUAACGUGUGGAUGAAAUUUCAGCGAUAUUUUCAGCGACUAUAAUAUAUACACUUUUGUUUAUUACAGUAUCGCCCGAUAUUUAUAUUAAAGGCGUUGUUACACUUUCACAUCAACUUACAAAUGAGCAAAAAAUUGGAAAAACAAUGUUGUGUCGAUUAAAAAACAGCUCAUAACCUUCUACAUGUUUUUGAAAUAAUUUUUGUGUUAAAAUUGGUCACGCGUAAACUUCUUUCGAAACAUUGUUGCGUUCGUUGCGAGUUGGUGUUGAAAAUUGCUAUAAAAAGUUAAAAACUAUAAUUUACCUAUAAGGCCAACUAGUUCAUAAAGUGAAACAUUAAAGCUUAUAAGUAUAUUAAUUCCAAAAGGCACAACUAUAGAAUACCCCACAAGGUUAUUUAACUGUCUAUUCAAAUAACUAAUUCAUACACUAGAAAUGAAUAACUAUUUAUUGAUUUGUUUUCUUUUAACAUUUCAUAUAAAAUCAUACUUUAUAAUAUAUGGAUUUUCAUAAAGUUUAGAGAUGUGGGGUCAUUUACUAAAACGUGUUUUAUUCAUGGUGGGGUAUUCUAUAGUUAUUCCAUUGGUGAGUAAAAUUAUCUGUACCAAACACUAUAGCUUAUGGUAAUUAAUUACAGUGGACAAUUAAUUACCUAUUACUGGUUGAUGGGGACUUUGGCACUUUUAUCAAUUUAAUUGUCCAAUUUUGGAUAAUUAAAAUAUCAAGGUAUGGAUGAAAUUCCAUCUGUUAAAUCACAGUUGGUUGAAGGAUGAACAGUAUCCCUUGAUUAACCAUGGUUAAAAUGUAUUAAAGAUCUUUGAGGCCUGUUGUCCAGUAACACCCUUUUGUUUCUAUUACUGGAACUCUGGAAUGUUAUGUUAAUAUGGUUUUGAAUUGAAAUUUGUUUUCAUUAAAUCACUGCCCUUUGUCCUCUGCGACAGCUUUAUGCCCCUCCCUAGUGAAGGUCUUGUGUAACAGUGCACUAUUGUACUGGUAGUAGAUAAUGUAACAGUGCACCAUUGUAAUUAGAUAAUGUAACAGUGCACCAUUGUAAUUAGAUAUGACAGUCUUGAGCACAUGUAUAUAGGGAGCACGAGAAUGAAAUAAA